AAUAUGUCUCUGCUGUGUUUAUGUCCGUCUUGUGUUUGCCUACCUAUCACUAAUUAAGUAGCAUAAAUAGAUAAAUGAAAGUUUCGGCUAAAACUUUGUCAUAAGUUACCACACGGAUAACCAGCUUGUGGCGGCCUAAUGAUCAUAGUAACGUCGUUUUUCGAUCCUUCGAUGUCGGUUCUUCUUAUCAUUGAGGAGCCGAAUCCACCAAGCGUUGGAUUGUUCACCCACUAAUAGGGAACGUGAGCUGGGUUUACACCAUCGUGAGACCGGUUAGUUUUAC
rnacentral:ncRNA from 1 species